UGUUUGAUGUUCUAACGUGGACCCGUGAUCCGGGUUGCGGACAGUGUCUGGUGGGUAGUUUGACUGGGGCGGUCUCCUCCUAAAGAGUAACGGAGGAGCACGAAGGUUGGCUAAUCCUGGUCGGACAUCAGGAGGUUAGUGCAAUGGCAUAAGCCAGCUUGACUGCGAGCGUGACGGCGCGAGCAGGUGCGAAAGCAGGUCAUAGUGAUCCGGUGGUUCUGAAUGGAAGGGCCAUCGCUCAACGGAUAAAAGGUACUCCGGGGAUAACAGGCUGAUACCGCCCAAGAGUUCAUAUCGACGGCGGUGUUUGGCACCUCGAUGUCGGCUCAUCACAUCCUGGGGCUGAAGUAGGUCCCAAGGGUAUGGCUGUUCGCCAUUUAAAGUGGUACGCGAGCUGGGUUUAGAACGUCGUGAGACAGUUCGGUCCCUAUCUGCCGUGGGCGCUGGAGAACUGAGGGGGG
rnacentral:rRNA from 1 species